rnacentral:rRNA from 1 species
CGAUGAGUAGGGCGGGACACGUGGUAUCCUGUCUGAAUAUGGGGGGACCAUCCUCCAAGGCUAAAUACUCCUGACUGACCGAUAGUGAACCAGUACCGUGAGGGAAAGGCGAAAAGAACCCCGGCGAGGGGAGUGAAAAAGAACCUGAAACCGUGUACGUACAAGCAGUGGGAGCACAGAGCAAUCUGUGUGACUGCGUACCUUUUGUAUAAUGGGUCAGCGACUUAUAUUCUGUAGCAAGGUUAACCGAAUAGGGGAGCCGAAGGGAAACCGAGUCUUAACCGGGCGUUAAGUUGCAGGGUAUAGACCCGAAACCCGGUGAUCUAGCCAUGGGCAGGUUGAAGGUUGGGUAACACUAACUGGAGGACCGAACCGACUAAUGUUGAAAAAUUAGCGGAUGACUUGUGGCUGGGGGUGAAAGGCCAAUCAAACCGGGAGAUAGCUGGUUCUCCCCGAAAGCUAUUUAGGUAGCGCCUCGUGAAUUCAUCUCCGGGGGUAGAGCACUGUUUCGGCAAGGGGGUCAUCCCGACUUACCAACCCGAUGCAAACUGCGAAUACCGGAGAAUGUUAUCACGGGAGACACACGGCGGGUGCUAACGUCCGUCGUGAAGAGGGAAACAACCCAGACCGCCAGCUAAGGUCCCAAAGUCAUGGUUAAGUGGGAAACGAUGUGGGAAGGCCCAGACAGCCAGGAUGUUGGCUUAGAAGCAGCCAUCAUUUAAAGAAAGCGUAAUAGCUCACUGGUCGAGUCGGCCUGCGCGGAAGAUGUAACGGGGCUAAACCAUGCACCGAAGCUGCGGCAGCGACACUGUGUGUUGUUGGGUAGGGGAGCGUUCUGUAAGCCUGUGAAGGUGUGCUGUGAGGCAUGCUGGAGGUAUCAGAAGUGCGAAUGCUGACAUAAGUAACGAUAAAGCGGGUGAAAAGCCCGCUCGCCGGAAGACCAAGGGUUCCUGUCCAACGUUAAUCGGGGCAGGGUGAGUCGACCCCUAAGGCGAGGCCGAAAGGCGUAGUCGAUGGGAAACAGGUUAAUAUUCCUGUACUUGGUGUUACUGCGAAGGGGGGACGGAGAAGGCUAUGUUGGCCGGGCGACGGUUGUCCCGGUUUAAGCGUGUAGGCUGGUUUUCCAGGCAAAUCCGGAAAAUCAAGGCUGAGGCGUGAUGACGAGGCACUACGGUGCUGAAGCAACAAAUGCCCUGCUUCCAGGAAAAGCCUCUAAGCAUCAGGUAACAUCAAAUCGUACCCCAAACCGACACAGGUGGUCAGGUAGAGAAUACCAAGGCGCUUGAGAGAACUCGGGUGAAGGAACUAGGCAAAAUGGUGCCGUAACUUCGGGAGAAGGCACGCUGAUAUGUAGGUGAAGUCCCUCGCGGAUGGAGCUGAAAUCAGUCGAAGAUACCAGCUGGCUGCAACUGUUUAUUAAAAACACAGCACUGUGCAAACACGAAAGUGGACGUAUACGGUGUGACGCCUGCCCGGUGCCGGAAGGUUAAUUGAUGGGGUCAGCGCAAGCGAAGCUCUUGAUCGAAGCCCCGGUAAACGGCGGCCGUAACUAUAACGGUCCUAAGGUAGCGAAAUUCCUUGUCGGGUAAGUUCCGACCUGCACGAAUGGCGUAAUGAUGGCCAGGCUGUCUCCACCCGAGACUCAGUGAAAUUGAACUCGCUGUGAAGAUGCAGUGUACCCGCGGCAAGACGGAAAGACCCCGUGAACCUUUACUAUAGCUUGACACUGAACAUUGAGCCUUGAUGUGUAGGAUAGGUGGGAGGCUUUGAAGUGUGGACGCCAGUCUGCAUGGAGCCGACCUUGAAAUACCACCCUUUAAUGUUUGAUGUUCUAACGUGGACCCGUGAUCCGGGUUGCGGACAGUGUCUGGUGGGUAGUUUGACUGGGGCGGUCUCCUCCUAAAGAGUAACGGAGGAGCACGAAGGUUGGCUAAUCCUGGUCGGACAUCAGGAGGUUAGUGCAAUGGCAUAAGCCAGCUUGACUGCGAGCGUGACGGCGCGAGCAGGUGCGAAAGCAGGUCAUAGUGAUCCGGUGGUUCUGAAUGGAAGGGCCAUCGCUCAACGGAUAAAAGGUACUCCGGGGAUAACAGGCUGAUACCGCCCAAGAGUUCAUAUCGACGGCGGUGUUUGGCACCUCGAUGUCGGCUCAUCACAUCCUGGGGCUGAAGUAGGUCCCAAGGGUAUGGCUGUUCGCCAUUUAAAGUGGUACGCGAGCUGGGUUUAGAACGUCGUGAGACAGUUCGGUCCCUAUCUGCCGUGGGCGCUGGAGAACUGAGGGGGGCUGCUCCUAGUACGAGAGGACCGGAGUGGACGCAUCACUGGUGUUCGGGUUGUCAUGCCAAUGGCACUGCCCGGUAGCUAAAUGCGGAAGAGAUAAGUGCUGAAAGCAUCUAAGCACGAAACUUGCCCCGAGAUGAGUUCUCCCUGACCCUUUAAGGGUCCUGAAGGAACGUUGAAGACGACGACGUUGAUAGGCCGGGUGUGUAAGCGCAGCGAUGCGUUGAGCUAACCGGUACUAAUGAACCGUGAGGCUUAACCUUACAACGCCGAAGGUGUUU